UUGAAGAAAGAUAGACAAGCUUUGUACUCUUGUUUUUCAGGGAUAGAGUAAAGUGGUAAAUGCAAAUCAUGGAUGAAAUUUAUAAGAUCGCUUCCACAGAAAGGAUCCAGCAGUUAGAAAAAGAACUGUCUGUGCAACUGACUGAACUGAAGUCUGCAAUAGAAGAACAGGGGACUCAUGGAGCUUACAGCUCUGUUUGAAUACCAAAGGACAUUUCUUACUUUAGAAGAGAAAGGGAACUGGCUCUAAAGAAAACUUUACAGGUGGCUGAGUCAAAGUCCCUUGUUGUUCAAGCAGAUGUCAUGCAGAGGGAGCUAGAGAGCUGCCUAAGAAGAGAGUACACUCCUGAAAAUUUACCUUUGCUUCUG